AUGAAGUUCAAGGCCUCCUUCACCGACGACGGCAUCUCCCUGCUCGACAAGCGGUUCCUCCCGGCCAUCGACAAGGUGGGCCGCGUGUGCCACGUCUACCUCACCCCCACGCACGCCAUGCUCCUCCACAACCUCCUCGGCUCCACGGGGCCCGACGGCGACGGGCCGCAGUGCGUCGCGCAGUUCGCCAAGGACCUCCUCUUCCGCGAGUACAACGUGUCGUCGCGGGACGGCAACCGCGUCGCCUUCUCCGUCGACGUCGCGCUGCUCCAUCGCGCCAUCCGUAGCGCGCUCGCUGUCCACGCGCAGUCGCCGGCUGCCGGGGACGCCCCCGCGGCGAUUCAGGUCAAGCUCGUCAACAAGCAGACCCCCGGGUCCCGUUCUGCUGCCCCGUUCCUCACGUUCGAGACCAAGGGCGCUCGCUCCGCCGUCGUGCAGGACGUGCCCAUCUCGAAGCCACUGUCACGCUCCGAUGUUGCGCGCUUGCAGGACGCACUUGAUGCCGCCCAAGAGCUUCCUGAGACUCUGGCCCAGGUUCCAGAUCUACAACAGUUACAGAACUUGGUGGAUCGUCUAAAAAACAUUGGUGAUCUUCUGUCUGUAACUGUUACCCAAUAUGGUGAUCUCCAUCUGCAAGUUUCAACUUCUCUUGUUACUCUUGGUUCAGAAUUCAAAAGGCUUCGGAUUCUUGGUGCUCGUGCAAAUGCACCUGUCGUUGAUCAAAAUGUGAGUGCUACCAUUCGUAUGGAAAUGGCGGUUGAGAGAGGGGAAGCACUGUCAGUGCAAGUGAGCAUGAAGCACCUAGUUAAGAGCCUACAAUGUCAUUUGGCCAAGCCAGAUUGUACCUUCUAUGGUAUUGCUCCUAAUGGUGCUUGCUUGACAGUGAUAUUCCAGUACUUCAUUCCAGGAACACGGUUGACGGAUAAAUCCAUCAGCUUUUACUGUAGGCUUCCAGUCCUUGACCCUGGCACCAGCUAA
rnacentral:rRNA from 1 species